ACUGGAACUGAAACACGGUCCAGACUCNUACGGGAGGCAGCAGUGAGGAAUUUUGCGCAAUGGGGGCAAACCUGACGCAGCAACGCCGCGUGAGUGAAGAAGGCCUUUGGGUCGUAAAGCUCUGUCAACUGGGAAGAAGUUACAGAUGUUUAAUAGAUGUCUGUAUUGACGGUACCAGUGGAGGAAGCGCCGG
rnacentral:rRNA from 1 species